CCUCCGCUGGAAUGGCAUUCUUAUGACCUCAGUUUGGGUUGAGGAAAUAGAAGAGAUAUCAAAUUCCAAAGAGGUUACUGUGCAGAAAUACCAAAGUUGUAUCAAGAACAGGCUUCUUGGUUGGCCUGGCAGGAUGGAAAAGUCCAGCCUUCCUUGAAUGAGAGUCGGGAAGGACAAUGGAGUUGGCUGUUGCGAAUGAUAUUACCAUCACUGAAAAAAAUCCUUGACCGUAGAAGAUAUGCCAUCCUCUCACCAGUUACCCAGCCAGAACCCAGGAGAAUUAACUUCUGUCCCAGUUCAAUAUGUGAAGGGUUCUUAACCCAACUCCCACUGUUGCCCACCC